UACGUAGGCAGCGAGCGUUGUUCGGAGUUACUGGGCGUAAAGCGUGCGUAGGCGGUUUUGUAAGUUUGGUGUGAAAUCUCCCAGCUCAACUGGGAGGGUGCGCCGAAAACUGCAAGGCUGGAGUGUGGGAGAGGUAGGCGGAAUUCCUGGUGUAGCGGUGAAAUGCGUAGAUAUCAGGAGGAACACCUGUGGUGUAGACGGCUUACUGGACCAUGACUGACGCUGAGGCACGAAAGCGUGGGGAGCAAACAGG
rnacentral:rRNA from 1 species